UUCCCCUCCGUCGGUGAAGCUGGUGGCGGACGAAGAAACCCUACUUCUUUCGAUCGCCCUCGCAUAGGUUCUUGCUUGCGGAGACGACGCCUCGGGUGAUCGGCGCUGUCUCGGCUAGGCGAUGCGGCAACCAGAUCUCUGUCUCGAGCACGGCAUCGGCAAGGAUGGCCUCCUCCUCCUCCACGGUUCCGCUACCCAGGGAGCAGACAGGAUGUCUCUAUGAUCAACUUUACACAUGAAGAUAUGUUCUAGUGGACCUAGAACAACUGAUGGUAUACAAAAUAGUGAAUACAGGAACCUUUACAGUCAUGGAACAUAUUUGAGUCAGGUAUGUGGACAUGGUUCCAGAUAACAUCAGUUUAUCUUGUUUUUUUUUUCCUUGCAUUAAGUACAAGUGCUUAUUCUUUUUAAUGUUAGUGCAAUCAAGUUGAGUUAUUUUCUGUUUUCCA